UAAUUCGAUGCAACGCGAAGAACCUUACCUGGUCUUGACAUCCUGCGAACUUUCUAGAGAUAGAUUGGUGCCUUCGGGAACGCAGUGACAGGUGCUGCAUGGCUGUCGUCAGCUCGUGUUGUGAAAUGUUGGGUUAAGUCCCGUAACGAGCGCAACCCUUAUCCUUAUUUGCCAGCACUUCGGGUGGGAACUCUAAGGAGACUGCCGGUGACAAACCGGAGGAAGGUGGGGACGACGUCAAGUCAUCAUGGCCCUUACGACCAGGGCUACACACGUGCUACAAUGGUAAAUACAAAGGGACGCCAAGCCGCGAGGUGGAGCUAAUCCCAGAAAAUUUAUCGUAGUCCGGAUUGGAGUCUGCAACUCGACUCCAUGAAGUCGGAAUCGCUAGUAAUCGUGGAUCAGAAUGCCACGGUGAAUACGUUCCCGGGCCUUGUACACACCGCCCGUCACACCAUGGGAGUGGAUUGCACCAGAAGUAGUUAGUCUAACCUUCGGGGGGACGAUUACCACGGUGUGGUUCAUGACUGGGGUGA
rnacentral:rRNA from 1 species